rnacentral:rRNA from 1 species
UACGUAGGGAGCAAGCGUUGUCCGGAAUCAUUGGGCGUAAAGCGCGCGUAGGUGGCUUCGUAAGUCCGUUGUGAAAGUCAAAGGCUCAACCUUUGAAAGCCGAUGGAUACUGCGGAGCUAGAGUACGGAAGAGGCGAGUGGAAUUCCUGGUGUAGCGGUGGAAUGCGCAGAUAUCAGGAGGAACACCAAUAGCGAAGGCGGCCCGCUGGGCAGUGGCUGACGCUGAGGCGCGACAGCGUGGGGAGCAAACAGG